GUGCUAAAUUGUAAAAAGUGCUUCGGUCAGGAAGGGGCUGGUUAAUUUUGAGGCGUGUCCUUAUAGGUAGGUGUCAUGCCAUAAGCCCAUUUUACCUUUUAUUUAUAAAUGUAAUUGCUCUUGUCAGUGCUUCUCUUCAAUGUAAUUUCAAAUUGUGGUGGUUGCAGUCCAACUAUAACAAGUAUAGGAUUUUGAACAUUAGACAUAUUAACAUCAGUCUAUUUUAGUUGCAGGUCUGAGUUAUUUUGAUAUUUUAAUUACAGGACAGGGUCGAAGGAACUGGGGAAGAGUAUAGAAAGUUGCAAACAUCUUCUGCUUCAAUCCACACAUCCUUGACAAGGAGGAGAGAGCAAGUUAUUUAUUUUCAGUUUAACAUACAAUGUAGUGAAAUGUAUGCAUGUUUUGUGUUUUUGUUAAUGUACCUAUAUUUUUUUUAAAUGUGCUUCCAGAUUAACAUUAUUCUUAAAAAGCUCUGCUCCACACUUCCUGAUGCAGGAGCCUUCCCUGUUGAUCCAACCAUAAAGAGACAUAAAGCCAAGAAGACAUAAUCAGGAAAAGGGAGUACUCCCUACAUGCGCUCAUAAGAAAUGAGAUGGAGGAAAAAUGUACUUUAUUGCUUGGAUUUGAAGUUACGUAGGAAGAGAAAUAGAAAAACGAUUCCUUCAUCCUAAAUAGUUAGACAUUUCUGUUUCAAGCCGUCCUUUUGGGAUGGGGUUCGAUUGAUAUGGUUCAUAAUGCUAGACUGUUCAUGCAAUAAACUGUAACUGCCAUUUGCAGAUAGCUUGUGAUACAAUCCAUAAGCCCCUUAGACCUAUGCUUUUAUAAUAAAUUGGUCAGCUGUUGGCUUUAUAUGAUGCCCUUUGUUUACCAUUUCUCCUUGUUUUUAAAAAGAAAAAAAAAGUUUAAUUGUUAUAGAAAUGUUCUCCCAGACCCAAAUUGCUUUUUAUGUUGUUUUUAUUUUAAUUAUUUUGAUGACUUAUGAUGAGCCUGAAAUGGAUUUUGCUUUAUAAUCAAAGUUGCUGAUAUAAUUUGUUUUGUCAGUUUUUGGUUAUUAUAAAAAAAAAGUUUAUUUUAAACAUUAGAUUUUUUUUAUUUUUUACAUUUUUAUCUAAAACAUGAAUUUAUACAUGUUUUUGUUCAGCUAUUUUCUGUUAACCAAUUACAGCAAUGUGCAUGUGUUUUCAGAACUUUGGGCAAAUUGUCUGGAGGAACAGAGGCACUAAACCUGAUAUUGAAGCAUAGAUACUAAGGCUCAAUGGACACUAUAAUUUUUUUCUGCUUCUAGAAGCUAAAUAGUGUUAUCCUAUGUGUCCAUGCACACUACUUUAGGCUAUUAGCAUUUUUUGAGCUUCAGCUUAUAUGAGCAGAAAGUAAAUUGUUUUCGUAGUUUCUUGAGCGUUUUUCCAGCAGAAAAAUACGCUGAAUGCUCCAAACUGCUACUAACAGAUUUAUUUUUUCUUUAUGUACUGCAAAAAUGCCAAUACAAUGCUAAGGCUCCUAACUGCUCCUAAAUGCUUCUAAAAGCUACAAAAAUGCUACUAAAAGCUGGCACAAAAUGCUAUUAUCAGCAUUUUUCACCUGGUGUUUUUUGGGGAUUUUUUUUAGAUUAUAGUGUGCAUGAGCCUAAACGAGUACACGUGCCAGAGAAAUGCUGAGUAACCCUACAAGGGUAAUUCAUUUGUACAAUAUGAACUUUUCACUUAUAAAGCAUUAACGGAUUUUGCCAUACAUGGGUAUUGCCAAAUCUGUAAAAACCUCACACAAAACAAACUAUUAAAGGCUUUAUAGGACUGUUGACCCUAAAAGGUAAUCUAUUGCCAUAUAGAGCCAAGUUACUGGCAAAAUAGGUCUACAGCUGGCUAUACAAAUAGCUAUCUGAACAAUGAAUAUAACCAGAAGGAAGCUUCUGAUCACUUAACAUGCACAUCUAUUAUUUUGUGUGCAAUGGUAGAUGGAAGUUGUAGACGGCAGUGGUUGAGAGUUCUGGCUAAUCUAAAUUUUUCUCUUUUUUUGUCAGCAAGGAUGAACAGAAAAGACACAACGAAUUUGUUGUGAUAUUGGUGUGCUUACACAAAUGAAAGAAAUUAUUAUACUGAAGUCAUUGUACAACAAUAACGGCACAUUAAAAUGAUCUAAUCUACUUAAGAAUUCACACAUAUUACUUGUCACUUGUUGAAUUUAUGAAGUAGAAUGCAUUUGUUUAUUAAAGAUUUAUUUCAUGUUAGUGUUUUUAUGGGACUCCACUAACCUGAUGGUUUCUAAAGUGCCACCAGCAUAUCUCUAUUAACUUUCUACUAUGAAGCUGAUUGCUUGGUCCGGUCUCCUCUUGCUGCCCAUGGUACAUGGUAGGCCACCAUCAACCAAUCGUACCUUUAUUUUUUAUUAGGGUUUUGCAGUUUCUGAUAAAGCUCUCAAAGCCAAUUAAAGCUCAGUUCCACCCAAAAGUGGUAGCUCCGCUUAUCUGACGCCGCUACCGGGGCAUUCAGAAAGCGCAGCGCUCUUCGCACAUGCAUAGUAUGGAACUGGCUGGGAAGCCGCAAGGCUUCACUGCCAGUUUACCUUACAGAAAAUGGCAGCAGCCGGGAGCCAAUGGAAACUUCAGCUGGGGUGCCAACAUCACUGGAUUCCAGGACAGGUAAGUGUCCUAAUAUUAAAAGUCAGCAGCUACAGUAUGUGUAGCUGCUGACUUUAAAUUUUCUGGGGGGAGUGGAACAUUUUAAAGCAUAAAGGUAGCUCUGUUUGCCUGAACCAACAUGCUGUGGUCAAGUUAAGGCGGCCUUUUUGAACUGGGGUUCUGCAGCAUGCUGGUAGAGAAAAGCUGUGGGAGGAGACAAGCUCCCAAUCCCCAACCAUAUACCAUAGAGAUGAUUGGAGCCCUUCCAGUCUCUGUUAAGCUCUAUAGUCAGCUUGCUGAACCCUCAGGUUUCCCAGUGGGACGGAAGAGCCAGAGAGCCAUUGAAGGUUCCGGGAAAUGUGGGGGAUGUCACCUUCCACUGCUUGUAAAAACAAUCCAGCAGCUAAUUAGACACUAGGAAUGCUUUUACAAAAAAGCCGACUGUUGGCUGAAAAAGACAAUACCGGGAUGAUGCUUGCAGCUGCAGGCAUCAUCCUGGUAUGUCGCUGGUCCUCAAGUGAUUAAAGCCAUUUGAAUGAAUGAAACUUCAAUGUUACAAAACAAUAUGACUCCUACUACCCCCGUGAGCUGGAUAGACCAAAACCUUCAAGCCUCGUACACACUGGCCUAAUGUCGGGAGGCAUCCGGUCUGACAGAAGCCGAUUGUUUGGCCGGCUUCUUCGAACAAGCAUGCUGUAAAACCAGCAGCCGUCCAGCUCCCGAACAACGCUCUUGACCAUUGGUGGAUAGCGCGGACCAGAGUGUUCUGGCAGGUGGGGGGCCGUCCCCCUGUCAGAACACAACAGUUCAGUGGGGGAGGUGGCUGUACUAACGUCAGAUCAUUAGUACAGCGGCUCCGACUGGAACUGUCAGUUUUUUUGU